rnacentral:rRNA from 1 species
UUGGUAAUAUUGGACAAUGGGCGAAAGCCUGAUCCAGCCAUGCCGCGUGAGUGAAGAAGUUCUUCGGAUUGUAAAGCACUUUAAGAAGGGAGGAAGGGCAGUAAGCGAAUACCUUGCUGUUUUGACGUUACCGACAGAAUAAGCACCGGCUAACUCUGUGCCAGCAGCCGCGGUAAUACAGAGGGUGCAAGCGUUAAUCGGAAUUACUGGGCGUAAAGCGCGCGUAGGUUGUUCGUUAAGUUGAAUGUGAAAGCCCCGGGCUCAACCUAGGAACUGCAUCCAAAACUGGCGAGCUAGAGGAGUGCAGAGGGUGGUGGAAUUUCCUGUGUAGCGGUGAAAUGCGUAGAUAUAGGAAGGGACACCAGUGGCGAAGGCGACCACCUGGGCUCAUACUGACACUGAGGUGCGAAAGCGUGGGGAGCAAACAGG